rnacentral:rRNA from 1 species
UGAGUAACACGUAUCCAACCUGCCGUCUACUCUUGGACAGCCUUCUGAAAGGAAGAUUAAUACAAGAUGGCAUCAUGAGUCCGCAUGUUCACAUGAUUAAAGGUAUUCCGGUAGACGAUGGGGAUGCGUUCCAUUAGAUAGUAGGCGGGGUAACGGCCCACCUAGUCUUCGAUGGAUGGGGGUUCUGAGAGGAAGGUCCCCCACAUUGGAACUGAGACACGGUCCAA